CCGCCGGCCCCACUCCACCCUCGUCUUCGUCUACGGCUCGGGUUCUUCAUCGCCAUGGCAAGCAAUGGCGAUUCCGGCACAUCAACCGGGGCAUGACACGGAAGUGCAAACUUGAAGUUAUUGAUACAACUUCAUGCCAAAGAGAACAACCAGGUCUUCUUUUAGAUUUGAAUGUGAACCCAGAAUGGGAGGCUAAAGUUGAAAAGAGGAAACGCAAGCUAGAAGAAGGCAAUGAAGUGAAAAAAUAAUCAGAGAAGCAUGGUGGGGAAGUACAAACUCGAACUUGGCGAACUAGCUCACUUCCCAAAGACAAGGACUUGCUUCUUUUAGAAUUCAAAGGCCGGAGAGGAAGGUCACGUAGCCUAGAAGUUAUACAUAAAAAUUCAUGAAGCAC